AAAAAUCAAGAAGAUGAAGGGUGAAAGAGAGGAGAAAAUCAACAGCAAUGAAGAGAAAAAUGGCAAGAGUGUGGAGGGAUUUUUGGGAAUGUAAAAAAAAAAGGAAAAAAAUAUGAAUAGAAUAUUUGAUAACCACCCCAAUCUCUUAUUUGUCUCCAUCAAACUCCCCACUAAAUCCAGUACUUAGAUUUUUAGUCCAUCUCAAACUCUCCUAGACGCACGAGCAAAAAUAAUGCC
rnacentral:lncRNA from 1 species